rnacentral:misc_RNA from 1 species
GAUGAAGAACGCAGCGAAAUGCGAUAAGUAAUGUGAAUUGCAGAAUUCAGUGAAUCAUCGAGUCUUUGAACGCACAUUGCGCCCCCUGGUAUUCCGGGGGGCAUGCCUGUCCGAGCGUCAUUGCCGCCCUCAAGCACGGCUUGUGUGUUGGGCCCCCGCCCCCCGGUCUCGGGGGGCGGACCCGAAAGGCAGCGGCGGCACCGCGUCCGGUCCUCGAGCGUAUGGGGCUUCGUCACCCGCUCUGUAGGCCCGGCCGGCGCCCGCCGGCGACCCCAAUCAAUCUAUCCAGGUUGACCUCGGAUCAGGUAGGGAUACCCGCUGAACUUAAGCAUAUCAAUAAGCGGAGGA